UACAGAGGGGGCAAGCGUUGUUCGGAAUUACUGGGCGUAAAGGGCGCGUAGGCGGCCUGCUAAGUCGAACGUGAAAUCCCCGGGCUCAACCCGGGAACUGCGUCCGAUACUGGCAGGCUUGAAUCCGGGAGAGGGAUGCGGAAUUCCAGGUGUAGCGGUGAAAUGCGUAGAUAUCUGGAGGAACACCGGUGGCGAAGGCGGCAUCCUGGACCAAUACUGACGCUGAGGAGCGAAAGCCAGGGGAGCAAACGGG
rnacentral:rRNA from 1 species